GGACUACUCGGGUAUCUAAUCCCAUUCGCUCCCCUGGCUUUCGUCUUUCAGUGUCAGUGUCGGCCCAGCAGAGUGCCUUCGCCGUCGGUGUUCUUCCCGAUAUCUAUGCAUUUCACCGCUACAUCGGGAAUUCCCUCUGCCCCCACCGUACUCUAGCCUACUAGUUUCCACCGCAUUUUCAAGGGUAAGCCCUGAACUUUCACAGUGGACUGAGCAAACCACCUCAGGACCCUUUACGCCCAAUGAUUCCGGACAACGCUUGCAUCCUCCGUAUUACCGCGGCGGCUGGCAC
rnacentral:rRNA from 1 species